rnacentral:rRNA from 1 species
AGUCAUAUGCUUGUCUCAAAGAUUAAGCCAUGCAUGUCUAAGUAUAAGCAAUUAUACCGUGAAACUGCGAAUGGCUCAUUAAAUCAGUUAUCGUUUAUUUGAUAGUACCUUACUACUUGGAUAACCGUGGUAAUUCUAGAGCUAAUACAUGCUAAAAACCCCAACUUCGGGAGGGGUGUAUUUAUUAGAUAAAAAACCAACGCCCUUCGGGGCUCCUUGGUGAAUCAUAAUAACUUAACGAAUCGCAUGGCCUUGCGCCGGCGAUGGUUCAUUUCAAAUUUCUGCCCUAUCAACUUUCGAUGGUAGGAUAGUGGCCUACCAUGGUGGCAACGUGUAACGG